rnacentral:rRNA from 1 species
AUUGAACGCUGGCGGCAUGCCUUACACAUGCAAGUCGAGCGGGGAAGGGUAGCUUGCUACCUAACCUAGCGGCGGACGGGUGAGUAAUGCUUAGGAAUCUGCCUAUUAGUGGGGGACAACAUUUCGAAAGGGAUGCUAAUACCGCAUACGCCCUAAGGGGGAAAGCAGGGGAUCUUCGGACCUUGCGCUAAUAGAUGAGCCUAAGUCGGAUUAGCUAGUUGGUGGGGUAAAGGCCUACCAAGGCGACGAUCUGUAGCGGGUCUGAGAGGAUGAUCCGCCACACUGGGACGGAGAAACGGCCCAGAAUCCUACGGGAGGCAGAAGUGGGGAAUAUUGGACAAUGGGGGGAACCCUGAUCCAGCCAUGCCGCGUGUGUGAAGAAGGCCUUUUGGUUGUAAAGCACUUUAAGCGAGGAGGAGGCUACCGAGAUUAAUACUCUUGGAUAGUGGACGUUACUCGCAGAAUAAGCACCGGCUAACUCUGUGCCAGCAGCCGCCGUAAGAC